ensembl:lncRNA
CCGAGGGUCACGCACCACCUGCGUGACGUCACCACCUUGAUUAGCGUAGCCCGACUAAACUGUUACAGCCGGUGUUUUGGAGUGAAACAAUUCGGUAACGCCGCGGCGGUUUGAUUCAACAACUUACCAGAUAAUCCAUGCGCUGUCCCGUCACAGCACCGCGAAACUGGCGCUGCGGUUCCUGCCGUUUUCUGUUGCUUCGCAGGUAGGUGUGACCACUGAUGUUCCAGACAGAAGACACUGGAUAAAGAGAAGAUGAAUGCAACAUCAUUCUGCAGCGACAGUAUGAAUCACAAGCCUGCUGAUGGCAUGCAAGCUGCAUACUGAAGAGAUUCCUGUUCCUCGGAGAACGCACUCGUCUUCAAUAUUUCAUGAACUGAAGUGGUAACUUGAUGUCCUCUGCACAGGUGUGGAGAUGUGGAGAACGCACACAAGAGUGUUUCCUCCAAUGUGCACAUUAGUCCAGUGUGAAUGUAUUAUAAAGUAGUGUCGUUUGACCUGACCAAUGGGAGAGGAGAGACCUCUGGUGGCCUCAGGUAAAACAUAUACUGUGGUGGAGUAACACAAUAGUUUACACUGUAUUAAUUUGGAAGAAGCGUUUUGUCCAUGUUGCCCCAAACACAAGCUAGUUCAGAGUCUUUCUUAGGGGUAUUUUGUCUGAGGGGGCGAGGAGUGGCAAAAUCUGCUCUCCCAAUUACUUGCAUGAUUAUAAAACGAGACGCUGAACUGUUAAAUGAAAUAUUGGUAAUUUUGGGUUACCAAUGACAUUUAGGAAAUCACGUUGGAAACUUUGGAUUGGCAUUUUCAAUAGUUAUUUGAGUGAAAAUAACUGAAAUUUUAAUGUUACAUCCACUUAUUCAUUUUGGUUUUGAUGAUGAAAAAGAGAUUAAAAGACCUCCAUAAGGGGGCAGUCUCUACUAGAAUAAAGGACUGAGGAAUAUUUUCAGCCUUUGUCAUGUCCAAAAUAUAGGGUAUAUGUAAGUGGUCUAAUUAUGCAGCGGAAUUUCAGCAUAGACCAAUUAUGUGGAUGGUUAGACAGUAGAUAUCAAAAAUAGUCCUAAUAAACAAGUUUACAUUAUGUUAAUGUAACUUUUGGAUUCUUUAGCCUGUACUAAAAUCAAAUGGCCACUUCAGACCGCAUCAUCAUCAUCAUUUUUCUAUUAACCACUCCACCCUCAAUUAACUCUCUCACUAGAAGAAAAAAAACAAGUUGUCAGACUUUUCCUGUCAUUGUGUUUUUUAUUGUGUUCUAUGUAGCUAUAUCUGUUUCUACACAGCCUUGCUGCAUAAAGAAUGGCCGCCAGUUUAAGAAAGGUCUCAACGGUAUUCUCUUCAACACCCAACACUCACAAGCAUGGAUUAUUGAUUGUGUGUUCUUUGCAGCCAUGCAUAUUUCUUGAUUGAAUGAAUGUUGAAUCUUUGUUUAGUCAUUAAGGAGACUCGGAGACUGAAUAACUGCCUGCUUAAAGGAUCAAUAGUGUGUGUAUUUUGAUUAGAUUUCUUGAUUUAUGUGACGUUCAUUCCUCAAAGGUGGACUAAAAUAGUCAUCUAGGUGAGUGCAGGGAGGCCUGGAGGCAGUCAUCGUGAUAUCAGGUUUUCCUUUCUUUCUUGGUAAAAGGUUGAGGGUUAACCUGACAUCAGACCUGCUGUCUGCAUCGCUGCAUCCUAAUCUUUAAUGGCUGAACCAGACGGGGCUUCUGGAAUACUGGCUAUAGCUUUAUAACCUGUUAAAACCACACGGAGCUUCAUGUUUUUUACAUUCUUCUAGAAGGACAUGCUUUCUAGAAGAACUUAUUGGCUGCUGAGUUUGUGAAGGACACUAUAUAACACUCAGUUAAAUAACAGCAGCAGAGCUGACUGCUUUUUCACACUUGAGCCAGCGUGAUGACAAGCCGGGCUGGAGCAACUGCUGAGGACACUCGGCGUCAUGUCCUCUCAUUCUUUCUGAGAACUUGCGGUGUUUCAGCAGCCUAAUGGGUAGUUAUAUUCUUCAAUUAAAAUGGUGGGGGUUGAAUUGUAGUUCCUCAGAAAGACGAAUUGAAUUAAAAUAAUUCAUCUUUCUUUUUCCGGGCACUAUUUUGUUCCAGAGAAAUAGCACUAAGACAUUAAUUUGUGGGAGAAAUAUGGGUAAUUGAAUGAAUUGGAUUGUGAAAAAUCCAUACAGGGGCCUCUGUAUUUCUUUAGUCUAAAAAUGGAUAUGGCUGUGUUACCAAAAUAGUUCAAUUCUAGUAUAUUCAGGGCUGUCAUUGAGAAUACUCUUUAAUAUUUUAGGGAAUCUUAAAGAAAUCAUGUGAAACCCAAGUGUACAUUCAAGCAUCAUGACUGUUAAGUGACUGCCUUUUUUGCUUUUAUUCAUCUUUUUUCUUUUUCCUUUUUUUUUUUUUUUAAACUUUUCCCAAAAAUAUAACAUUUACUCAAAAAGCCAACAAGCUCUACAAGCCUUUAAUUAUGUGUACUAGACCCAGUUAUAAAC